GACGAACGCUGGCGGCGUGCUUAACACAUGCAAGUCGAACGGAAAGGCCCUGCUUUUGUGGGGUGCUCGAGUGGCGAACGGGUGAGUAACACGUGAGUAACCUGCCCUUGACUUUGGGAUAACUUCAGGAAACUGGGGCUAAUACCGGAUAGGAGCUCCUUCUGCAUGGUGGGGGUUGGAAAGGUUCGGCGGUUGGGGAUGGACUCGCGGCUUAUCAGCUUGUUGGUGGGGUAGUGGCUUACCAAGGCUUUGACGGGUAGCCGGCCUGAGAGGGUGACCGGCCACAUUGGGACUGAGAUACGGCCCAGACUCCUACGGGAGGCAGCAGUGGGGAAUAUUGCACAAUGGGCGGAAGCCUGAUGCAGCAACGCCGCGUGCGGGAUGACGGCCUUCGGGUUGUAAACCGCUUUCGCCUGUGACGAAGCGUGAGUGACGGUAAUGGGUAAAGAAGCACCGGCUAACUACGUG
rnacentral:rRNA from 1 species